rnacentral:lncRNA from 1 species
UUGAAGGCCUUUCCUGCUUGACAGAUAUGUACCCAACUGUGACAGCGAGGGAGAAAGCAAUGAAUUCUCUAAAUGGUACAGAUCCUAUCGUGUGGACAUUUGGAGGAGGACAGCAAUUGAGGAGGCCUUCAUGAAGGAGAGAGACACCUGUAAGCUGACCCUCGAAGCCAUGAAGAACAGAGGAGAGAUCCACCUGGGCAAAGUCCUGGAACUUGGGAGUGGAGAGGAGCGGAUGCGUGUGAGAAAGUUCACACAUGCUGUGGGGGAAGCCAGCGCCGGGAACUGGAGUUAGAACAAGAUGUGCGUAGCUCUAAGAGGUACCGUGGUAGACUUGUCACUGCUUUGUGGAUUUGGU